UACGUAGGGGCCGAGCGUUGUCCGGAGUUAUUGGGCGUAAAGCGCGCGCAGGCGGUCCUUUAAGUCUGAUGUGAAAGCCCACGGCUCAACCGUGGAAGGUCAUUGGAAACUGGGGGACUUGAGUGCAGAAGAGGAAAGUGGAAUUCCAAGUGUAGCGGUGAAAUGCGUAGAGAUUUGGAGGAACACCAGUGGCGAAGGCGACUUUCUGGUCUGUAACUGACGCUGAGGCGCGAAAGCGUGGGGAGCAAACAGG
rnacentral:rRNA from 1 species